AGGAGUGUGGUUGUAAAAAAUCAUCAAAAUCAAAGUGAAAAUAACCGUUAAAUCGUGAUUUUUUGUUUUAUAACCGUCGAAAAGUUUUGUCUCAUUACUUGAUCUCUGAAUGUUUAUUUUUUGUGAUUUUUGGUGUAUGUGAUCUCAAAGCAUAUACAAACAAGUUUGACGGUUGAAUCGUUGAAAUUAGUUUCAUAGAAUUUGUAUCUCUUCAAAACGAUAGAUUCACUAACACUUAGAGUUUAUUUAUACUUUCAUUAAGUAUAACAUAAGAUUUUGUGGUAUCCACUUGUGUAAAUAUUUUAAAUUGACUAUCAAAUUCAUUCAUUGUAUUCAUAUAGGGUCAAGGAGUGUAGUUGUAAAAAAUCAUCAAAAUCGAAGUUAAAAUAACCAUCAAAUCAUGAUAUUUUGUUUUAUAACCGUUGAAAGGUUUUGUAUCAUUACUUGAUCUCUGAAUGUUUGUUUUUUGUGAUUUUUGGCGUAUGCGAUCUCGAAGCAUAUACAAACAAUUUUGACGGUUGGAUCGUUGAAAUUAGUUUCAUAGAAUUUGUAUCUCAUCAAAACGAUAGAUUCACUAACAUUUAGAGUUUAUUUAUACUUUCAUUAAGUAUAAUAUAAGAUUUUGUGGUAUCCACUAGUGUAAAUAUUUUAAAUUGAAAAUCGAUCUCAUUCAUUGUAUUCAUAUAGGGUCAACGAGUGUAGCUGUAAAAAAUCAUCAAAAUCGGAGAUAAAAUAACCGUUAAAUUGUGAUUUUUUGUUUUAUAACCGUCGAAAAGUUUUGUCCCGUUACUUGAUCUCUGAAUGUUUUUUUUUUUUUGCGAUUUUUUGCUGAUGCAAUCUCGAAGCAUAUACAAACAACUACAUUUUCAAGAAACCAUCGAGGAAACAAUUCACGAUGCUUUUUGGCAUAUAAAUGUGAAGGAUGUUCCCGCUUCAUCAACUUUUCAUGCUUAUCUAGGUAGGCAAUUGUCUCGUCACAAUUGUUAAGUAUAAACCAAUGUGCUACCUCCAUGUUCAUUUUGUUAAAUGACUCCCCUCUGAUUGGUUCGCUAAAGGGUUGUGCAAUUUGGGCAAAAAUAGAAAGUUUUCAUUUCUCACACCACUGUCAUUAUUGCAUUGCUAUCGGUUGAACGUAGUCUCAACGUCUUGUAGGUGUAUUGCACAAAAUGUAAGUGACUCAAAUGCGGCCCAUACCUCAAUGAUUGAUCCUUCUGGCUUUGCCUUGUUCCGUACACUCUUUUUUAAUUUUCCCAGUAGUUUGCAUCAAUAAACAAAAUAUCGUAUAAAAUUAGUCAAAUCAUUCAUACAUCAUGAACUAAAGCAUUUAUGGCGAUUAUAAACCUUUCUAUCAGAUACAUCCAUCGGUAGUUGACGGGUCUAGCUAGAAGUGCCUCCUUUGGCAAGUGAAUCAUCACGUGGAUCAUACCUGUGAAGAAAGCUGGGGGAAAUAUUUGUUCAAACUUGCAUAACACUUCAAUAAUAUCAUCGCACAAUUGUUUAACAUUGGACUUGCUCAAAGAUCUUGCAGUUAAUUGAGAAAAAUAUCACGCCAACAACAUAAUCGGCUUUAACACGUCUUCAGGUAAAAGCUGUCAAAUUCCCACUGGAAGAAGGCGUUGAAGUAUGACAUGACAAUCAUGACUCUUAAGGUCGGAAAAUUUUCUGCCAUCCAUGUUUGCACAACGGCCGAUGUUUGAAGCAUACCCAUCUGGAAACUUUACAGAAGAUAGAAAUUGCAAAAACUCUUUCCUCUUAUCUGGUUUCAUAAAAAACGAUGCGGGCUUCUUUCUGGCUAUGUUUUCGUCCCUCGUCAUCCAUAAACCUAGCCUAAUGCCCAUUUUUUCCAGAUCGAUCUGAGCUUUUAUUGUGUCCUUUGUUUUUCGAUGUCUAGUAUAGUUAUGACCAGUGUAUCAAACACAUUUUUCUCAACAUGCAUUACAUCAAUGUUGUGUCUUAAUUUUAAUUUGGACCAAUACGGGAGCUCGAACAACCUUGUCUUGUGUGUGUAGUUUAAAUGCGUGUUUGGUCUUGUCAUUUUUAAAUAUUUGCCUAACGAAGCAAAAUCCAACCGAUUCACCAGAGCCAAAAUUUCAAAU
rnacentral:lncRNA from 1 species